rnacentral:SRP_RNA from 1 species
GCUGGGUGUGGUGGCGCUCGCCUGUAAUCCCAGCUACUUGGGAGGCUGAGGCAGGAGUAUUGCUUGAACCCGGGAGGCAGAGGUUGCAGUGAGCCAAGAUCAUGCCACUGCACUCCAGCCUGGGUGACAGAGCAAGACUCCGUCCCAA